UACAGAGGGUGCAAGCGUUAAUCGGAAUUACUGGGCGUAAAGCGCGCGUAGGUGGUUUGUUAAGUUGGAUGUGAAAGCCCCGGGCUCAACCUGGGAACUGCAUCCAAAACUGGCAAGCUAGAGUACGGUAGAGGGUGGUGGAAUUUCCUGUGUAGCGGUGAAAUGCGUAGAUAUAGGAAGGAACACCAGUGGCGAAGGCGACCACCUGGACUGAUACUGACACUGAGGUGCGAAAGCGUGGGGAGCAAACAGGAUUAGAAACCCCCGUAGUCC
rnacentral:rRNA from 1 species